rnacentral:tRNA from 1 species
GGAUGGGCCACCCGAUUGGCGACGGGACCCGGUUGGAAGCCGGACGAGCCGCAAGGCCUUGAAGGUUCGAAUCCCUCCCCUUCCG